CUCGGGUCGGCCGGGAGGCGAGGUCGCUCCGAGCGGCCUGAUCCGGAAGAAAGGCCCUAGGCCGCGUUCGGGGGCGUGUCCCGGGCC
rnacentral:tRNA from 1 species